GUCCUUGUCAUCAUUUUGUGAAGAGCAACUGAUUCUAGCAACAGCCUAGGUUUGCAGAUUCCCUUUGGCCAACAACUCAAUUCGAUGUAACCCAAUUACUGAAAACCUCAUUUGGUGACAGAGAUGGCCAGUUGGGGCUCUCUCCCUCCCACUAUUUGGAUAUAGAUUGCCUUCAUAUAUGUAUAUAUUUUAGGAAGCUUCUACCGUAUUAGGUUUCUAUACAACUCUUCAAAUGCCCAAAUUUUAGUUGGCUCUUCUGUGUUCCUUCAUCCUCUCUCUCCCCUGUUCCUCCCCACUUGAACUUCCCAUUCCAGCCCCCUUCUCAUCCAUAAGUAUAGUCUAAUUCCCUUUCCUAUCAAGAUUUGUUCCUCCUAAUCCUGUACUCUACCUAACCUCUGGUUCUGUGGAUUGAAGCAUGAUUAUCACAGCUUAAUAGCUAAUAUCCAUACACAAAUAAAUACCAUUCUUGUUUUGGGUGUGGGCUACUGCACUCAGGAUGGCUUUUUUUCUAGGCCCAUCUGUAUACUUGGGAAUGUCAUGGUUCCAGUUUUAUAAAGUGUUUUCUCAGCCAUUUGUGUUUCCUCCCUGAGAAUUCUGUUUAUAUCUGUCCCCCAUGUUUUAAUUGGACGGUUUUCUUGAUACCUAGUUUAGUUCUUUCUGUAUUUUGGAUAACAGUGAUACAUACUUAGGAAAAUCUUCCCCUUCUUAGGCUGCUGCUUUGUGGGAAUAAUGGUGUUCUUUGCCUUACAUUAUAUUUUCAGUUUUAUGAGGUCCCAUUUACCGUUGAUCUUAGUUCCUAUGCUAAUGGUGUUCUGUUCAGAAAGUCUUUCCCUCUGCUAGUGAGUUUAAGACUAUUCUUUGGUUAGAUUUUGAGUUUUGUGCAGGGUGAGAAGUGUGGAUCUAUUUGGAUUCUUCUACAUGCAGCCAUCCAGUUUGACCAGUACCACUUGUUAAAGAUGCUUUCUUUUUUCCAGUGUGUAUUUCUGGCUUAUUUAUAAAAACAAAACAAAAAACCAAAAACAGGUGUCCAUAGGUUUGUGAAUUUAUGUCUGGGUCUUCAGUUUGAGUCCACUGAUCAGCAUGUCUGUUGUGCCAAUAGCAAGCAGUUUUUAUUGCUGUAGCUCUAUACCACAACUUGAAAUCUGGGAUGGCGAUGACCACCAGGAUUGUUUUUGCUAUCCUGGGUUAUGUGUUUCCAUAUGAAGCUAAAAAUUGACCUUUUAAGACCGGUAAAGAAUCAUGUUGGAAUUUGAUGGAGAUUGUAUUACAUCUGUAGAUUGCUUUUGGUCGGAUGGCCAUUCUUACUAUACCAAUCCUACUGAUCCAUGAGCAUGGGAGAGCUUUGCAUCCUCUCUUUAAAAUUUCUUCCUUCGGUGUCUUAAAGUUUUUAUCAUAUAAUCCUUUCACUUGCUUGGUUAGAGUUACCCCAAGAUACUUCCUCCUCCUCCUCCUCCUUCCUUCCUUCCUUCCUUCCUUCCUUCUUCCUUCUUCCUUCUUCUUCUUUCUUCUUUCUUCUUCUUUUCUUUCACGGUCUUUUGGUCAUUGUUAUAAAGGAGGCUCCUGAUUUUUGGAGUUAAUCUUGUAUCCAGCCACUUGGCUGAAAGUGUUUUGUCAGCUCAGGAAUCUGUAGAGUUUUUAGGGUCUGUUAUCUAUCCUAUCAUAUCUGAAAAUAAUACUUUGACUUCUACUUUUCUAAUUUGUAUCAAGACUUCGGGUGCUGUAUUGAGUAGAUAGGAAGAGUGGGCAACUUUGUCUUGAUUCUGAUCUUAGUGAUAUUGCUUUGAGUUUGCCCAAAUAAGUGAAUGUUGGCUAUGGGCUUGCUGUAAACUGCCUUUAUUAUGUUUAAGUAUGUCCCUUGUAUCCCUAGUUUCUCCUGGACUUUUAUCAUGAAGGGGUAUUGGACUUUGUCAAAGGAGUUUCUCUAGUAAGAUGAUCCUGUGGUUUUUGUCUUUCCGUCUUAUAUGGUGGGUUACAUUUAUCAGUUUAUGUGUAUUGAACCAUCCCUGCAUCACUUGGUUGAAACCUCCGUGAUCAUGGUGGAUGAUCUUGGAUGUAUUCUUGGAUUUGAUUUGCAAGUAUUUUUACUGAGAUUUUUUGCAUCUAUGUUCAUAAGGGAAUAUAAACAUAAGGGAGAUAAACAUGUCUGUUUAUCUCUUUGUUGGGUCUUAAUGUGGUUUUGGUAUCAAGGUAACUGCAGCCUCAUAAAAACUGCUAGGUGAUGUUUCUUCUGUUUCUGUUUUAUGGAAUAAUUUGGAGACUAUUGGUGUUAACUCUUUGAGGGUCUGGUAGAAUUUUUGUACAAAAGCCAUCUAUCUGGCCCUGAACCUUUUGGGAGAGUUUUAAUUACUGCUUCUAUUUCUUUAGGUGUUAUAAGGUAGUUAGGUUUGUAAGCCAAAGUGCCCGAGGGGUUUUGUUUUUCGUCAGUUUUCUUUGCAAGUAACCAGGUCUGUUCUAGGAUUUCUUUUGUGUUUGUACCAUUUGGUGGAGCCGGUCCGUAGGUGUACUUUUGUGCUUCACUCUUGCUUAUAACCACCACCCCUACUCAUUCUGAGGACAUCAUGC
rnacentral:lncRNA from 1 species